rnacentral:rRNA from 1 species
CCCUAUUAUAUUUAGUGUAAAUUAAAUUUUGAGUAGUAUAUGUUUUGAACAGGAAACUUAAAGAAUUUGGCGGUGUAUAUUUUUAUUAGAGGAAUAUGUUUUUUAAUUGAUAUUCCACAUAAAUCUUACUUAAAUAAAUUUAUUUUGUAUAUCUCCGUCUAAAAAAUUUUUUAAAAUAUUUUUUAUUUUUUGUAAUUCAAAAUAGGUCAGGUCAAGAUGCAGAUUAUAUUUAAGUUAAAAUGUAUUACAAUAAAUUUAUUUUUGGUUUAAAAGUUCAAUACUUUUAAUAAAUUGGAUUUAUAAGUAAAAUUUUUUUUACAAUAAUUAUUUGAAUGUCAUUUAUGUACAUGUGCACAUC